rnacentral:piRNA from 1 species
UGAGGAAAUUCUUAUUGUGUCUUCAUC